rnacentral:lncRNA from 1 species
CUUGGAAUCUAAAGUUACUUCCUUAAGUCGGAGAGGUUGUACCUCUGCACCCUUUUCAAAUGUGCUCCCAGAGGUCUGCUCUGAAGGUCAGGGUCACGGAGUGUUCUAGAUUUUAAAGCAUGUUAGACACAGUUUUACUUUGAGGCAGAGUGACUUACAAGAGGGGUGCCUGCGAGAGAUUAAAAGAUUACACUUGUCCCCUGCUUUCGUGGGAAAAGUACCAAUUUCUCUUUUGGCCUGUAGACUCAGACAAAACCAGCGUGGUGGCCUUCAUGGGCUGUUGAGCAGAGGUGGAGGAGAGCAGCAGGGAAGAGAUAGGGCAUCCUGGACUCCCCUCACGAGUCACCGAGGGUAAUUUUCUCAGAAGUCUAGAUGGAUGCCAGUAAGCCCGCUGUCCAGACAGGGGAGGUGAUAGAGCUCGCUUUGUGUUUCCAGUUGAAAACAAAGGCUCGUUAGGAUUCGCGGCCGCCUGUGCUGCCCUGGGGCUCCAGGGACCAGCUGGCACCUGGACGGCGGCUGUGAAAAAACACUGGAGGCAGAACUCAGCUGAGCUGCAACCUCGUGAGCUCAAGUGGGGGUCACCCCUAGCUGAGGUUACCGCUGAGGGAAUGGGGUCACCCGCCCCGGGAGAACCUGAGCGGCUGCGCGGGGACGCGGACAAAAGCCGCUUUGUGGAGGCGGCGAGUCCUUCAACGGCGCCACCGUGUGGCAGCGCCGGGAAGCCGCGGCGGCGGCGGGCGCCGCGGAUCCUGAGGCCGUCUCUCGCAAGCCCUGACCUUCUCCCACCUUCUCUGACAGGACUCCAUGGUGACGGCCUGCCCCCUGAGGCUCUGCCCAGCUCUUAGAGGACACCACUCUCCAGGGGCUGCCCCAAACCUGGUGAUGCUCUUCAGGGCCUGGGGAGGAGGCUGAAGAGGCAGUUCUGGGCCGGAACUUCCCUGAUUCUCCCUGUCACAGCGGUUCUCAGCUCUCUCUCUCUGCCCCACCGCCAUCCCCAAACCAUCUGCAAGGUACCAACUCUUCCCCCAAUGACUCACAUCCCACCUCUGCCCCUGAGCAGCCCCCCACCCAACAUCCAGUCUUCUCAGGACUGCAACCUGCCUCCACAGUCAUCUCCCUGCUGCUGUCGUGUUUCCAGGGACAGACCAAUCAACAGUAACCAUCGUCUGCAAUCCCUUUCCCUUCCUCCUCACAUCCUGUCCCUGCCUAGAAGUGGGACAAUGUUGUGAGCCUCGUUUUACAGGUGACGGAGGCCCAUCAUGGUAGGCCAUGACGUGGGUACUGAGUAGCGGUGUCAGAACUAGAAGGGAUGUCUCUGGUAGAGACUCUUGGAGGAAGUGACCUUUGAGCUGAAACUUAAAGAAUGAAUCAGAGUUAGCCAGAUGAAGAGGAAGAUGGGAUUGGGAAGGCCAUUUCAGGGUGGAGUAUGCUUGCAGGCAAGGAACCAAGAAAGAUCAUGAGUGAUCACAUACUGUAAUUUCUUCACUAAGUCCUUUGAUGCCUCCUCGCUGGGUGUGGCAGAAAGGCUGAGUCUGUCUCUGUAGAAAGCCCUGUUCACUCUCCAGCCUUGGCUGCACCUCCAGCAGUCUCCCAGCACUCCGGGUGCCAGGUACUUCUCUCUGUGUACUUCUCAUGAUUUCACCCUUGGUGCCUUUGCACAAGCAUCUCCCCCUUGCUUCCUGGCAAGAUUCUGCUCAAACGUCAGCUGCUCUGUAAAGCUCUUUGACCUCCAUCGACACCGUUGUACUUGCUUCCCUCAGACCUACACACACGGCCCUCACGUGCGCAUUUGUAGAUUUGCCAUUGGCCCAGGGACUGUGCAAAAGGUCUUCACAGGUAAGGUCU